GUAGUUUAUACAAUCAUGUUGAUAAAUGAUUACAAAAGUUCCCUUUAUAGGCUUAAAUAUUUUCAUUUUUUUUUUUCUUUUAAUUUCCCUUGCAACUAAACAGAGCUUGAGCAGGAAGUUCUGCAGGAUGUUAUCAAGUUUUAUCAUUCAGAUUGUUGCCCAAUGUGGGCACUAUUUUAUAAUAAAAGCCAUGAACAUGGUGGACUAAUGCGUUGGAAACUGGCGCCAUAUGCAAGCAAGUAAUUUUUUAUUCCUGCAUUUUGGGAGAGGUCUUUACUUCAGACUUGCAAGAAUUAUAAAUUGGUUUA